rnacentral:rRNA from 1 species
UACAGAGGUCUCAAGCGUUGUUCGGAUUCAUUGGGCGUAAAGGGUGUGUAGGUGGCGCGCUAAGUCGGGUGUGAAAUUUCGGAGCUUAACUCCGAAACUGCAUUCGAUACUGGCGUGCUUGAGGACUGGAGAGGAGACUGGAAUUCCCGGUGUAGCAGUGAAAUGCGUAGAGAUCGGGAGGAACACCAGUGGCGAAGGCGGCUACCUGGACCAGCACUGACACUGAAGCACGAAAGCGUGGGGAGCAAACAGG